CAUAGAUGCUUAAGGCAAAAAUUUCAACCCUUUUCUUCUCAUCUGGGUGCGUCAAAAUCAAAUCUCUCAAAUUUUCCCAAGGAAUACACUUGCUAUCCCCCUUCUGUUGAAUUCGAGCAGUGACCCAAGAUUCACUCAUCCCCGAAAUAUUCACCAACCUCUUCGCAAAAGUUUGACUAUUAGUAAGCUUAGCAUAAAUUUUCCUGGCUUGAGCCUUUGAACUCCUCAACAAAGUAGUGUAUUCUUCUAAGGUAGGAACCAAAUCUACUUCU
rnacentral:lncRNA from 1 species